GGAUCAUCAGGUUGGUCGUGCCUUUGGUAUGUACUUUCCUCGAUGGUUCCUCCUUCUUGAAGAUCCGUAAUGCCAUUAAUUUGGUGUUGCGGGGAAUCAGGACUGUUACUUUGAAAAAAUUAGAGUGUUUAAAGCAGGCAAUCGCUUGAAUACAUUAGCAUGGAAUAAUAAAAUAGGACGGUGGUCCUGUUUUGUUGGUUUCUGAAUCACCGUA
rnacentral:rRNA from 1 species